rnacentral:lncRNA from 1 species
AAACUAAAGAAAGUUAAGACAUUUGGAAUAAACAGUAGAAGUAGUUUUCAUUAAAUCAUAAUAAUAAGAGGAGGAAAAAUACAUGACCAAAAUAUCUAGAAUUAUAUGCAUGUAGUUAAUAACAUUAUAAAAAUAUAAAAAAUAUUAAAUUAGAGAGCGUACCAUAUUGCUAUGAAUUCACGGGUAAACAACGAUAAAUUCUUGAAAUGUUUAACAAAAAAUAAAAU